rnacentral:rRNA from 1 species
UACAGAGGGUGCAAGCGUUGUUCGGAAUUAUUGGGCGUAAAGCGCGUGUAGGCGGCUUUGCAAGUCGGGUGUGAAAUCCCUCAGCUUAACUGAGGAAGUGCGCCCGAAACUGCAGAGCUUGAGUGCCGGAGAGGGUGGCGGAAUUCCCCAAGUAGAGGUGAAAUUCGUAGAUAUGGGGAGGAACACCGGUGGCGAAGGCGGCCACCUGGCCGGUAACUGACGCUGAGACGCGAAAGCAUGGGGAGCAAACGGG